rnacentral:tRNA from 1 species
GAGGGUAUAGCUCAAGUGGUAGAGCGCAUGCUUAGCACGCUUAGCCUACAUGAGGUUCUGGGUUCAAUUCCCAGUACCUCUU